UACGUAGGGCGCAAGCGUUAUCCGGAAUUAUUGGGCGUAAAGAGCUCGUAGGCGGUUUGUCGCGUCUGCCGUGAAAGUCCGGGGCUCAACCUCGGGUCUGCAGUGGGUACGGGCAGACUGGAGUGCGGUAGGGGAGAAUGGAAUUCCUGGUGUAGCGGUGGAAUGCGCAGAUAUCAGGAGGAACACCGAUGGCGAAGGCAGUUCUCUGGGCCGUAACUGACGCUGAGGAGCGAAAGCGUGGGGAGCGAACAGG
rnacentral:rRNA from 1 species